AGCAUAUCAAUAAGCGGAGGAAAAGAAACCAACAGGGAUUGCCCCAGUAACGGCGAGUGAAGCGGCAACAGCUCAAAUUUGAAAUCUGGCCCCCCCCGGGGCCCGAGUUGUAAUUUGUAGAGGAAGCUUUGGGCGCGGCACCCACCGAGUCCCCUGGAACGGGGCGCCAUAGAGGGUGAGAGCCCCGUAGGGUGGGAUGCCCAGCCCCUGUAAAGCUCCUUCGACGAGUCGAGUAGUUUGGGAAUGCUGCUCAAAAUGGGAGGUAAAUUUCUUCUAAAGCUAAAUACUGGCCAGAGACCGAUAGCGCACAAGUAGAGUGAUCGAAAGAUGAAAAGCACUUUGAAAAGAGGGUUAAACAGCACGUGAAAUUGUUGAAAGGGAAGCGCUUGUGACCAGACUUGCGCCCGGCUGAUCAGUCCGGUGUUCUUCACCGGUGCACUCUGCCGGGCCCAGGCCAGCAUCGGUUCUCGCGGGGGGAGAAAGGCCCGGGGAACGUAGCUCCUCCGGGAGUGUUAUAGCCCCUGGCGGCAUGCCCUCGCGGGGACCGAGGUUCGCGCAUUCGCAAGGAUGCUGGCGUAAUGGUCAUCAGCGACCCGUCUUGAAACACGGACCAAGGAGUCAAGGUUUUGCGCGAGUGUUUGGGUGUCAAACCCGCACGCGUAAUGAAAGUGAACGUAGGUGAGAGCUUCGGCGCAUCAUCGACCGAUCCUGAUGUAUUCGGAUGGAUUUGAGUAGGAGCGUUAAGCCUUGGACCCGAAAGAUGGUGAACUAUGCUUGGAUAGGGUGAAGCCAGAGGAAACUCUGGUGGAGGCUCGCAGCGGUUCUGACGUGCAAAUCGAUCGUCAAAUC
rnacentral:rRNA from 1 species